rnacentral:lncRNA from 1 species
UGUAAGUCUCUGCCGAAUAUAGCAGCAUACGAGAGGAUCCACUUGCAAGUAUUUCCCAGUUGUGUGUUCUUCGGCGGGGGGAGGGCCCUGGGUGCCGCCUACUUCUGAAAGACACAGGUCACUGUCAGAAAGCCCAACUGUGCUGUGGCCUUCCCUCCAGCCGCCCCCGUGGGGCAUGUGGGGUGACAGUGUGAGCCGUCCUCUGAUGUCUGGCUGCUAGAGAGGCAAAGAACAGAGACCCGAGGUUCCGGCCACCUUUCUCUAUGAAAGGGCCUUCCUUGACGCUUCUCCACCUUCCUGGGAUUGUUUUCUUCUCCAGUCCCCGAAUGGGCAGGCCUGUAUAUAAGCCUUGUUUCUAGAACCAGACAAAGCUGGAUUUGAAACCUGGCGAGCCAUUGAACAGCUAUGGCCUUGCGUAAGCGGUAUAGCCUCCAAGCCUAUUUCUCCAUCUCCGAAAACAGGGCUAGAUCAGUGGUUCUUAGUCUGGAACCGGCAUCAGAAUCACACCGGAAGGGGGGCUCACUGAAAAUGGACCACCGGGCCUGGUGCCCAAGUGUCUGAUUCAGUGGGUUGGUCCUUAGGACUGGCAUUUCUAACAAGUUCCCAGGUGAGGUGAGGCUGAUGCUGUGGUCUGGGAACACAUUUUGAGACUCCAGCCCCUAGCCUGGUAACACCUGGGGUUUUGACGCAGAAGUGCCACGUUCCACGCUUGGCACAUAGUAAUUGAUUUCAUUCUAACGCUAGCCGACUUCAUGUAUUGAAUAGUUUCCCAUCUCAGUGUCUAAGAAGCUCCACAGCUGGAGAUGGCGGCCCUUGGUCUCGGAGCCCCCCUCCUUGUGAUUUCUGCUUUGUGAUUGCUUUGAUGAACCAUUUGGGUCCAGGUGCUCCUGAUCACACCACCUCCCCUAUUUGGGACUUGUGCCCCACUCCCGCUGUGAGGGCUACACCGAGCUCUGGGGGCCUGUUCGGAUUAACAAGGAGAUCUUGCUAAAGGUAUCUUGGUGCUAAGUUAAGGGAGAUAGUUCGCCAUGGGCUAGGAUCUCUCAGUGCUGGUGACCUUGGGUGAGUGUCUCCCUGUAAAGUGAUAAGGAUGCCUGCUGGAAAGGGUGGUGGGAGGAUUAAGUGCGUUAAAGAGGCCCUCCUCCCAAGCUUUUAGUUGGCCUCCAUUGUGAUCGUGGUUAUUGCUGGGAGUGGCUGCAGGGGGUGGGGGCUGGGCUGCCUCAGAGCUUCCCCCCGCACCAGCCCACCUGCUGAAGCACGUGUCCCUGCCUCAGGGCAAAGGGGAAUCUGGCGCUCCCUGGGAAGGCGGCCAACGCGGUUCUCCUCUGGAGUGGUUGAGUCCAGCUGCAGGCCUUUCCCCAUCCACAGGGGCUGUUCCAUGAUGGGGUCAAGAUUUGGGUCACCCACCCAUGGUCCGGGGAGAAGUGACUCCCCAAGGUCACAAGGCCACCACCAAUAGAGCCAGGAUGGGGUUCCAGGUGGCUUGACUUGGCAGCCAGCGCCUGUGCCCAUGGCACCCCCUCACCCCAGCUGUCUGGGUUAUUUUGGGCUUCCUCCCGUGCCAGCUGUCUGCUGGCAUCCCUGCCCGGGACUGUCUGGUUGGAAGUAACUGGCGUGGUGCUGUUGGCUCCUCCUGUGAGGGCCAGGGCUGGGUCUUCAAUCCCCGAUGAGCCGUGCUGGGUCCAGCUCCUUUGCUGGGAGGGAAGAGUGUUCCUGCCCAGACUCCCCGCUGCCCAAGUACAGCAAGAGGGCGAAAGCACCUGAUAAAAAUUGAGGUUCACAUUGUUAAUAUCCCAAAAGCCUCCUCCUUCUAUACUCCCUGAAACCUGUUUUAAAUUUGGCUCUGCCAUUGAACCCCGUUGCUCUCACGUUACCCUCUGCCGCCCGAGGGUGUGGCGCCUCCCUUUAGAGUCUUCGUUGCUCUCCGGGUGGGGUCUUUACUCCCCACCUGCUUUGGAUAAUUAAGUAAUUGAUGUACGUCUCCCUCCCAGCUGCACCCUGGAGGGCUCCAGCCAGUUUCUCCCCUCCCUGGAUCCAAUCAGUGAGCUGUUGGGUGCUCAGCUGUGGUCUGGAUGUGGUUCUCGGCACGGUGUCGGGACCCACCUGGCUGGACUGUACCCCUCUCUCUCUGCUUUGGUCCCUCUUCUUUCUUUGUCCCCCCACCAUCACCUCUUGGGGCAGGGAGGGUGAGGCAGUUUGUCCUCCUGCUGCUGUUCCUGCUGGUCCCUCGAGGGCGCCCCGCCCACCGGUCACCCAGCGAACGCGGGGCGGGGCCGCUGCUGGCGCUGGGCCCCAGGGCUUGCAGAGAGAGGGCCACGCCAGCGGAAGGGCCGGCCAGGAGGUGGCAGGACUUGCCUUACUACUGAGUCGCCGGCAUCCCCGCCUCUUCCGGCCUCUCCGCCCGGAGCCCUAGCGUGGAACAUGACCUUUCGGACCCUCUGGGUGGAGACACAGCCUCUGCCUGGGCUGUGCAGUGAGGUGGCACCACCAUCUCAGGUCGUCUGGCCCAGUGCAUCUGUAGCUGGCAUGUGACUUCCAGCAAGCUCCUGCCCCUGAGCGCUGGGAGGAGCAGGUCCAGCAAUAAUUUUUUUUUUUUUUUUUUUGAGACAGAGUUUCGCUCUUGUUGCCCAGGCAAUGGUGUGAUCUGGGCUCACCGCAACCUCCGCCUCCAGGGUUCAAGCGAUUCUCCUGCCUCAGCCUCCGAGUAGCUGGGAUUACAGGCAUGUGCCACCACGCCCGGAUAAUUUUGUAUUUUUAGUAGAGACAGGGUUUCUCCAUGUUGGUCAGGCUGGUCUCAAACUGACCUCAGGUGAUCCGCCCACCUCGGCCUCCCAAAGUGCUGGGAUUACAGGCAUGAGCCACCGCGCCUGGCCGGACAAUAAUGUUUUGAGCUGUUGCUGAGUCUGGCUUUUGUGACGGGAACUUUUAGCACUCAAGGAGUGGCCUUGUCUCUGGCCUGUCCCCGAGUGCUCAUGGGCAGCCAAGGCCUGGGGACUGCUCAGGCAGGGUAGAUGUAUUUGCCAGGCCAGCUCCCGUCCCUGGGACCUCAGGGAGUAGCUUCAUCCCUGAAGGCUGAGUGUCUUCUGCCUCAUGUGGGUGGCCCCUCUGCAGGGUUCUCAGGCAUCCAGGGAAGUGGGUGCCACAGCGUUGCCUCCAGCCUCACUGGGGCUGGCUGGACUUUGCUCUGACAACACAGCAGUGGCUGGGCCCCUGCAACUCUCCAGGGCUCAGUUUCCCUGUUGGCCGCACUAUGGCAUAGGCCCCUGUGUGGACACCGAUGAGCUGACCCCACAAAUGCCACCCGGCCGCUCCCCCAGGCUUCAGUGGCCUAACAGCUGUUGUGUCAGGAACCAGCUUAAAGAAUCUUUCUUGCUUUCUCAAACUCUCCAGGAAUUCCUGGUGACUGGAAGGGGGAGUGACUCAGGCCCUCAACCUCUAGCAGAGUGCCUUGGCUCCCUCCUGUCGUCCUGGGGAACCUCGGCCCCAGCCCUGCCUCCCCAGCCAGUCACAGCUCCUCCCUGGUCACCCUGAGGGAGCUCAGGGCCCGGCUGGUAGCUGGGUUGCUCUGCUUCUGUCCCCCACUCCUGUGGAGCCUGGCAGGCAACUCCAUGAUCUGACCCCGGUUACCUUGACAGCCCUGCCUGGCCUCCCCUCUCAUGGCCCAGCCACCCCAGAACCUGAAGAGGUUUUCUAGCUGCCGUGCAUUUGCCAGGCUGGGUUACCCACCCUACUUUCCCUGCCUGCCCUCCAGUGCUGCCAGGCCUAGUGUGCCAGCCAGCGCUCAGCCUUCAGUAAAGGGUUCCCCUGCUUCCAACCUCCAUUGCACUGCUUCCCCUAAGACUGUGACCUCCUGGAAGGCUGGAGCACAACUGCCUCUCAAUAAACGUGUUGCAAAAA